rnacentral:lncRNA from 1 species
AUGCACUUAAAUCCUUCUGCACACACUAUAGAAAGGUCUAUUGCAUUUAUUCUAGCCUCUCACAGAUCCUUAAGGUUUUAUGGGUGCUUUAAAGCAGAAAUAAAGAUCCUUUUUUAUAUCCAAAAACCAGAUGUCUCUCAAACUGCCAUCCUAUUCCCCACAACUGUAGUUAUUUUCUCUUUAAGAUGUUGCAUCUGGACCACAGUCCUUUGCCUUUCCUUUUCUAGAGAUGUGCAGGCUUACAGCGGAAGUCUCCUGCUCCCCUCACCCCAGAGGUCGGCGCGGCGUUUAGGAGCAGAGAAUGAAACCUGCUCACAGCUGUGUCAGGUCCUGGCCUCGGCAGGAGCACACGUGGGAGAACCUUCGGCAAGGAGAGAAGAGAGGAUUUGCCCGAUGACACUUCUGGCUGAGCAGCGACUCGUUCAAGUCCUUGAGCUUCUUGUUAACUUGGAAUAA